CAUCUCUCAGUUCAGAACCAGCCAUUUUCUGAAAACUAAAGAGCUCUUGAAGGAUGAGAAAGAUCAUCAAUAUUUUUUAACUAAAAUUUUACAUAUAUGCUGUGGGAGGAAAAGAGCCUAAGCACAGAUGUCAUUUUGUCAGUGGCAGAAAAAAUAUCCACUUGAAAUGUACUCCCGGAGCACCGUUGGGAAAAAUAAUUGCUGAGUCCUUUCUACAGGAUAGUCUAGAACCUCACCACUUGUAUUCUGGUAUUCUGCCCUUCAGGGAAAACCAAAAUCACUUUUCCACUAAUAUGAUGACAGUGAGGCAAAUCAGUCAGACCUGGCCAGCUUCAACCCUAAUUGGGCUUUGGCUGCACGAAUUUUCUUCCUACAAAUGCAAACAGCAUCCCUGUAGUCCUUCUGUGUUGCCUGACCCUGCUUCCAGCAGCGAUACACUAUCUUUUUCUGCCUAAGCUCCA